rnacentral:rRNA from 1 species
CCUACGGGGGGCAGCAGUGAGGAAUAUUGGUCAAUGGACGAGAGUCUGAACCAGCCAAGUAGCGUGAAGGAUGACUGCCCUAUGGGUUGUAAACUUCUUUUAUAUGGGAAUAAAAUGUUCCACGUGUGGGAUUUUGUAUGUACCAUAUGAAUAAGGAUCGACUAACUCCGUGCCAGCAGCCGCGGUAAUCCGGAGGAUCCGAGCGUUAUCCGGAUUUAUUGGGUUUAAAGGGAGCGUAGGUGGAUUGUUAAGUCAGUUGUGAAAGUUUGCGGCUCAACCGGAAAAUUGCAGUUGAAACUGGCAGUCUGGAGUACAGUAGAGGUGGGCGGAAUGCGUGGUGUAGCGGUGAAAUGCUUAGAUAUCACGAAGAACACCGAUUGCGAAGGCAGCUCACUGGACUGCAACUGACACUGAGGCUCGAAAGUGUGGGUAUCAAACAGGAUUAGAUACCCGAGUAGUC